rnacentral:rRNA from 1 species
ACGGCGAGUGAAGCGGCAAAAGCUCAAAUUUGAAAUCUGGCUCCCUUGCGGGGUCCGAGUUGUAAUUUGCAGAGGAUGCUUCGGGUGCGGCCACGGCGCAAGUCCCUUGGAACAGGGCGUCAUAGAGGGUGAGAAUCCCGUCUUGAGUCGCUGGCACGCGCCCAUGUGAAGCUCCUUCGACGAGUCGAGUUGUUUGGGAAUGCAGCUCUAAGUGGGUGGUAAAUUUCAUCUAAAGCUAAAUACUGGUCGGAGACCGAUAGCGCACAAGUAGAGUGAUCGAAAGGUUAAAAGCACCUUGAAAAGGGAGUUAAACAGCACGUGAAAUUGUUGAAAGGGAAGCGCUUGGGACCAGACUCGGGCGCGGGGGUUCAUCGGGCGGUCUCCGCCCGUGCACUCCCCCGUUUCCCGGGCCAGCAUCGGUUUCGACGGUCGGUCAAAGGCCCCCGGAAUGUGUCGUCUCUCGGGACGUCUUAUAGCCGGGGGUGCAAUGCGGCCUGUCGGGACCGAGGAACGCGCU